rnacentral:rRNA from 1 species
UAGGGAAUCUUCCACAAUGGACGAAAGUCUGAUGGAGCAACGCCGCGUGAGUGAAGAAGGGUUUCGGCUCGUAAAACUCUGUUGUUAAAGAAGAACAUAUCUGAGAGUAACUGUUCAAGUAUUGACGGUAUUUAACCAGAAAGCCACGGCUAACUACGUGCCAG